rnacentral:pre_miRNA from 1 species
UCUUCGUUUCACGUGCUCUCUCGCCUCGCUGACCGGCGAGAGAGUGUGUGAAAUGAAGAGA